CUCGCCCCAGAGCAUUCGAGCGGUGUCGAACUGCGCGGCUGCGCGUGCGACAGGAAAUUUGGUUGUGGCGGGCUUUUCUGACAAGAAAAACAUUUCUGACAAGUUGCCACAGCCGCCACUUCCAGCGUGAGACUUGUUGGCAAUACAAGGGAUGGCGUCUACAACCUUCCCUUGAUAUUUGGCACGCUGCUAAAGAUCUUCAACAGAGCUUCAACAGGUGCAUGUCCUUCACGCUGUGACAGUGAUGGACCAGUCUGGAAUCUUGCCUUGGAUCAGAGACAUCAUUAAGUAUCAAUGCUAAGAGUGUCCACUGUAGAGCAGUUCAAGGUAUGUCUGAUGAUGUGAACUGAAACACGGUUUCAUAGUGAAGAGGCACACAAGUUCACAUAUGAAGUGACGUUUAAAUUUCAACAUUAUUUCAAUGUUGAUCAUGAUGAUUGAAUCAUGGUUGAAUCAACGUUGAAUUGGUUGAAAUUUCAGUGUUGUUUCAAUGUUAAUCAUUAUAGUUGAAUCAAUGUUGACACAACGUUAAAAUUUAUUGAAAUUUCAAUGUUGAGUCAAUGCUUGAUCCCAAUGUUGUUUCAAUAUUAAUUCAAUGUCAUUUUAUCUGGGGUGAGAGCACGGAGAGUAGUGGGCGUCGCAGAAGUUGUGGGAGACGGGAUGGCGGCGCGUAAAUAUAGCACACAUACUCACAUGCUGCUGAAUGCAGGAUCCAUACUCCUCCUUUGCUUAUACCACUGGUCGUGAUCCAGUUCGGUUACAAGACCCGUCCCCAAAAACCUAGUUGACAAAUUGUGGCACAGAAUAGUUUCAGCUGCAUGGCAAGGCUUUCGAACAAAAGUCGAGCAGCACACCUUUGACCAAAAAGGUGGAUGAGUCCUUUGUACAUCGCAAUGUCUUUGUAAUGCUUCGAUGACACAAGGAUUUUCUGUGGUUUUAAGAAAAUAUUGAAGCAGAAAUACAAUUUUUACAAAGAAUAGCAAGGAAAAUAAUGCGAAGUUAAAGGAGUUUCUACUAACCUUGGUAGUUUCGGGACAGGUAGUGAAAAUCAUGACAUGCUGCAGUAUGUGUAGCUUGUACACAGGUCCGUAGGUCUCUGACCUUAAAUUUCAGAAAUGAAAAGAUAUCAUAUAUUAUAUUUUGAUGUCAAUAACUACUUAAUUGUCACAAUUUGCAAAUGUACAUUUUGUGACAGAAAACCACACUUACCACUCCAAAAAUUUGUCGUGGACAAAUCCGGUAUUUGUGAGACGCAUUAAAAUGAAGGCAUGUCCAAAAAGGAAGCUGUUGUCAGAGAGAGCAAAGAGAAUAAGAGCUUUGCUGAGAAAUAUUCAGAAACAGAGUCUCUAUCACUUACUGUUCAAUGGGAGGUCCAGGUAUGUGCGCAUACUUCAUGUGCAGGUAUUUGAUGUACGCGUAAAAACACAGAAAACAAGAGAAAAGUCCACAGAGGAGCAGGAGGAGAACAGAGGGGAUCCAACUGAGAAUGAGGGAGAUAAGUGACAUUUUGAAUCUUCUACUUCCAAAGAUCAUCCAACGAAGCAAGGGCACAAACCUCUCCAAUAUUCCUUUAUGUAGGCUCACUCAACAAACAUCCCGCCUUCAACAAACACAACACUAUUAGAUUAGAUUAGAUUAAUUCUGUUGUUGGUGUUGCUCAGACUGGCUCCUAGUGGUGCUUGAUCGCCAGCUCUUGUGCCCUGCUUGAGAAAAGUGCCCAGUCAAGCAUAGAAAUUCCUAGUUAAUCUACAUUAUUGACUAAGGUUUUCUAAAUAUCCUUUUGGUUAUUGUGCGCUGCUAGUUUUGUUGUAUUUGUUCAUAGCAUAGUAUGGCUAGCAUAGCAUGAUUUAAAACUGUAAAUUCAAGUGUUCAUUAUGUUAACUGACUAGACAGGAAUGCCCCUAGGUCUGACAACCCCUGGUAGUUUUCAGCAGGUAAUUCAUGAAGUUAGGUUUACAAAUAAGAUUUGCUAUGUUUGCAACACACACAAAAAUUGGCUUUUCCUGUUUGCGAUGCCACAGGCCAGACGCUCUCCUGGUAGUGAAGUCCUGGAGCAAAUUCUGAUAUGUAUGCUUAUGUUACACAGCACUGACUCUAGUUAGACACUCUGAGCUUGUGCAGUGGUGCAGCUAAGUUGGCGUCAUCCCUCCACAAUGCAGCAGUAAUAGCGAGCGAAGCCCAGGAAUGACCAGCGUUCUGAAAGAGUAGCUGGAUUUGGCCAAUAAGAAAUUUCCUGAAUUUUUAUGGGAUCAGUGGAGCCGCCAGAGAUGAUGUGGCCCAAGUACUGAACUGCCUGCUGGACUGACACUGGUCACCAAAGAUCCACUGCAUCCACAUUGGGAAUGUGCUGGGAGCCUUGCAAAGCCUGAAGGGCAUCCGGUUCCACUCACACGGGCCAAAGGGAGUGCAAAAGGCUGUCUUGAGACCAUCCGCCUCUGCCACGGGAACUUGAUUGUAUAGGCUGGGUCCAGGGUGGAAAACCAACGGGCAGUAGUCAAAGGAUCAAAUGACUCAUCAAUGCAGGGCAAUGGAAGUGUCUUUCCU